CGGGUGAGUAACGCGUAGGAAUCUACCUGGUAGUGGGGGACAACAUGGGGAAACUCAUGCUAAUACCGCAUACGCCCUAUGGGGGAAAGCGGGGGGACCUUCGGGCCUCGCGCUAUCAGAUGAGCCUGCGUAGGAUUAGCUUGUUGGUGAGGUAAAGGCUCACCAAGGCGACGAUCCUUAGCUGGUCUGAGAGGAUGAUCAGCCACACUGGAACUGAGACACGGUCCAG
rnacentral:rRNA from 1 species